rnacentral:lncRNA from 10 species
AGAACUCGACUGCCAUUGAAAUGUGCAAAAGAAAAAUUUCCUGGCAUCUUAAAAAAAAUGUCGAAGUCAGUUACUCCACAAAGUCUGGAGUUGCUUCUGUUGGCCAUCAAUUUCCUGUGGUGCAGAGGGGCUACAAAUAUAAUACAGAUUAAACUCCCUGCAGGAAGUCUCUUAUGGAUAAGAACAAGUUCAGCUUCCCAUUGGGGAUGACAGAGCUGGUGCUCAGGUCAUCAACAUCCUGCUGAACCUAUGAGAAAGCAUUUGGGACAACUUGACAAUGCAUGGAUUUUAAAACAAUCUAUCACCUAUCUUUGACCAUAUGGACUAAAAUUGAUAUCCACCAAUAGACACUGAUGCCUGCAAGUCAACAGCAUAAAGAGUGGUAAAGUCAGUGCUGCAAAAGAUGAAAUGUUUUUAAUGUGGCUUUGAUAUCAGGAUGAUGCU